rnacentral:rRNA from 1 species
GUUUAUUUGAUUAAUUUUUAUUAAUAUUUUAUUUUUUUUAUAAUUAGAAUUUUAUCUUUUAUUAUUUUAAAAAAUUAUUAUUAUUUAUAGUUAAUUAGUACUGUGAAGGAUUUCUUUUAAAUUUUUAUAAGAAAAAUUUAAUUUUUGUACCUUGUGUAUCAGGGUUGAUUAAAUAAUUUUUAAAAAUUUAUUAUUCCCGAAUUUAGAAGAGCUAUUUCCUUAUUAUUUUAUUGUGAAAUAAAUAUUUUGAAUAGGGAAGUUGCAAUGAAACGUUAUUCGUUUCUAAAUAUAUCUGGUUUUUUAGGAAAAAAGUUUAAUUUUUUUUUUAGUUUAAAAUUUCAUUUAUUUUUAUGAUUUUUUAACUAAAAGGUUAUUUUCUUAGGGAUUAGCUUGUGAAAAUAAAUUUAAAAUAAAUAUACUAUUUUAAUUAAUUAGGAUUAGAAGUUUCCAUGUUUAAAAUAAUGUUAUAUUUGGAUUAAUUUUUUUAUAAUUUGUAUUUUAUUUAAGUUUUUUACUAAAAUUAGUUAUUUAAUAUUAAAUUUAUUGUAAUAAUGAUUUAAUUAGUAUAAAUUUUUGUUGAGAUUUUUUUCUUUUUAGGUUGGAAAAAGGAAUUCGGCAAAAGAUUUUUCACCUGUUUAAUAAAAACAUGGCCUUUUGAUAAUAAUUUAAGGUCUAACCUGCCCUAUGAGGAUUUAAAUGGCCGCGGUAUUUUGACCGUGCAAAGGUAGCAUAAUAAUUAGUUUUUUAAUUGAAAGCUGGUAUGAAUGGUUGAAUGAGAAAAUAACUGUCUCUUUCUAAUUUUUUUAGAAUUUUAUUUUUAAGUUAAAAAGCUUAAAUUUUAUUAAAAGACGAGAAGACCCUAUAGAGUUUUAUAAAAAUUGAUUUUUUAGUUUCUUAGAAUUUAUAUGAUUAAGAUUAAUUUUUAUUUGGUUGGGGCGACUAAGAAAUUGAAUAAACUUUUUUUUAUUAUUACAUUUAUUUAUGAUUAUUUGAUCCAUUUAUAGUGAUUACAAGAGAAAAUUACCUUAGGGAUAACAGCGUAAUCUUUUUUGAGAGUUCAAAUCGAAAAAAGGGUUUGCGACCUCGAUGUUGGAUUAAAAUUAAAUUUUGGUGCAGAAGCUAGAAAUUUAGGUCUGUUCGACCUUUAAAAUUUUACAUGAUCUGAGUUUAAACCGGCGUGAGCCAGGUUGGUUUCUAUCUUUAUUAAGUUAAAAUAUUUUAGUACGAAAGGACCAAGUAUUUGAUAAUUUAUUUUAUUAUUAGAAUAUCAUU